rnacentral:tRNA from 1 species
GGGGAUGUGGCUUAAUGGUAGAGUGCUUGCCUAGCAUGCAUGAAGCCCUGGGUUCGAUUCCUCAGUACUA